ACGAAGGGUGCAAGCGUUACUCGGAAUUACUGGGCGUAAAGGGUGCGUAGGUGGUUUUUUAAGUCUGCUGUGAAAUCCCCGGGCUCAACCUGGGAAUGGCAGUGGAUACUGGAAAGCUGGAGUGCGGUAGAGGGUAGUGGAAUUCCCGGUGUAGCAGUGAAAUGCGUAGAGAUCGGGAGGAACACCAGUGGCGAAGGCGGCUACCUGGACCAGCACUGACACUGAGGCACGAAAGCGUGGGGAGCAAACAGGA
rnacentral:rRNA from 1 species